GACGAACGCUGGCGGCGUGCUUAACACAUGCAAGUCGAGCGGUAAGGCCCUUUCGGGGGUACACGAACGGCGAACGGGUGAGUAACACGUGGGUGACCUGCCCUCAGCUCUGGGAUAAGCCUGGGAAACCGGGUCUAAUACCGGAUAUGACUCCAUGACGCAUGUUGUGGGGUGGAAAGCCUUGUGCGGCUGAGGAUGGGCCCGCGGCCUAUCAGCUUGUUGGUGGGGUGAUGGCCACCAAGGCGACGACGGGUAGCCGGCCUGAGAGGGCGACCGGCCACACUGGGACUGAGACACGGCCCAGACUCCUACGGGAGGCAGCAGUGGGGAAUCUUGCGCAAUGGGCGAAAGCCUGACGCAGCGACGCCGCGUGAGGGAUGACGGCCU
rnacentral:rRNA from 1 species